UAAAAGACAGGAAAUUGAGGCUCAGAGAGGGGAAACGACUCGCCCAAGGUUAAGAGAAAAAGCGGUCCUAGUCGUGGGGGUGACAAACUUCACUAAGGGUCUUCUGAAGACAAAGGCUGCAGUUUUCUUCUGUGUGGACCUAACAGGGGACAUACUCUGCUCUCAGCAAAGUGGAAGGAAGAGGAGAGCUAAACUUUGCUGAGUGCUCACAUACCUGUAUCAUGUAUAGGUACGACCUCCUGUACAUAUCAUGCCUUCCAUUUUACAGACGAGGCUAAGUGAGAAAUCCAAGAUCUCCCAGCAAGCCAGGUGCCAAAUAGCAAUGGGAAUCCUGGGUGACCUGGUAUCCAUCCUUGCCUGUCCCUCUAUUCUCUGCUUCCUGGACUCUGGUAACACUCCAGCAGGGACACAGAGGUGAGGGCUGGACACCCUGAUCCUGGGAGAGAGCCCGACAUUCACAUUAGGGUCCAGAAGUCUUGGAGUAAAUUCCAGAAGUGGCCGAUCUCAGGCUGAAAAAGAACCGCGAACAUGAAAGAUGCUUAAUAACAUGUAAAGUGCUGGACUCAUGUUGAGAUCAGAGAAGGAGGUUGGCAAAGGUGAUGUUUCCUUGAGCUUUGGAGACCAGCAGACCCAGGGCAAACCCCAGUUUCUUCCACUCCUGAAAGAGUCCUUGGGGUUGACCCAUAUGGCCAUGCAGAUUUUGAAGGUGUCCAGCAGAAGGGAUAAGUGGGAGCUGAAAUCUAGCUUGAACUCUAAUUGCCAAGCCUUGCCUUUGGCAGAGGGCUACAUCAGGUGAGAGGAAGGGGCACUUUUUUCUGAUCUGCACACAAAGGCACACGAAAGAACAAAUGUGGCACAAGGCAGCAGCCCUGCCUUUGAGAACCAGGCCCUAGUCUGAGUGUGGUGAAACCAGGGCUGAAGCAGGUACAACUUCUGUCCUAGAGCACCCUAUAGUCUGAGGCUGUGAUUUCUAAGUGAGAUGAUGGCACACGGAAGGUGCUCAACGAAUGGUAUAUAUACAGUCAGGACAGCAGAUGCUACAAGAAAAAAUGGUGCUCUGAGAGUUGGUCACACAAGGGCUUCCUGCAGGAGGGAUUUCAAGCUGGACCUUGAAUGGUGGAGAAGAUUUAGAUAAGCAGAAGGGUGGAAUGACAUGGGCAAAAAUUUGAGAGAGGAGGAUCCUCUCCCAGGUCAGACUGGCUGACUCAGAAGUUUCUUGCAGGAAAGAAGAGGCACAGUUGGAGAGGUAGGGAGAAUUUAGAUUUUAGAGGUCAGACUGGAAUCACUGGGGCUAUUUCAACAGCUCAGGUCAAGCCUUCAAAGGAUCUCUCUGUUGAUAAGUGUGUGGUGGGAAAGAAUCAAGUGCAGAGAAAAAGGAAUUGCACAAUUCUGCCUCAAAACUCAAAAGAAUUCUCAGGGGCCGGCACUGUAGCCAAGUGGUUAAGUUCACAUGCUCCGCUUUGGCAGCCAGGGUUUUGCUGGUUGGGAUCCUGGGUGCGGACAUGGCACCGCUCAUCAGCCCAUGCUGAGGCAGCGUCCCACAUGCCACAACUAGAAGGACCUACAACUAGAAUACACAACUAUGUGCCGAGGGGGCUUAGGGGAAAAGAAG
ensembl:lncRNA